UACGUAGGGAGCAAGCGUUGUCCGGAAUCAUUGGGCGUAAAGCGCGCGUAGGUGGCUCUAUAAGUCCGUUGUGAAAGUCAAAGGCUCAACCUUUGAAAGCCGAUGGAUACUGUAGAGCUAGAGUCCGGAAGAGGCGAGUGGAAUUCCUGGUGUAGCGGUGGAAUGCGCAGAUAUCAGGAAGAACACCGGUGGCGAAGGCAGCUCUCUGGGCCUUACCUGACGCUGAGGAGCGAAAGCGUGGGUAGCGAACAGG
rnacentral:rRNA from 1 species